rnacentral:rRNA from 1 species
CCCUUAGAUGUUCUGGGCCGCACGCGCGCUACACUGAUCGGUGCAACAAGCAUCCGUCCUUGGCCGACAGGCCCGGGCAAUCUUUGAACGCCGGUCGUGAUGGGGAUAGACCUUUGCAAUUUUUGGUCUUCAACGAGGAAUUCCUAGUAAACGCAAGUCAUCAACUUGCAUUGAUUACGUCCCUGCCCUUUGUACACACCGCCCGUCGCACCUACCGAUUGAAUGGUCCGGUGAAACCUCCGGAUUGGCGCGUGCCCUCGGGCACCGCCGAGAAGUUGGUUAAACCUUACCAUUUAGAGGAAGGUGAAGUCGUAACA